GUCGUCUCACCCUCCGCCCACGCAAAAAAAAAGGAGCCCUCCGCGGCUGACCCGGUGCCCCUAAUCGCCUCGAUUUGCUCCCCACCGAGAAGCCCCGAUCCAUCGCGCCUCCCGAAUCCGCCGCCCGCCUCAUCUCGCACUCGCCGAAGCCGAAGCCGGAUCGACCUAGCCACCGCCGCUCUCCUAACACGCUGCCGGCCCGCCGCCACGCUGAUCCGCGCACCUCUGGUCCAUCACUGCCGAUCCCUCCGUCCACUCUCCCAGCCAUGUCGCCGUCGGCGUGGUGGACGCCGUGUUCUCGGACGUGCCGGCAUGGUCCCGACCAGUUCCCGUUGACGUGGUGGACGCCGUCGCCCCCUUAAUAAGACAGGAGAGGCGGAUCAUCUCUGCCGCCACGACGCCGCCCGCCGCCCCUCCUCCACACCUCGCUGCCGCCCCCUCUGUCCCUCUCCCCAUCCGCCCACAUUUUCCUCCCCUCGGAUCCUCCUCGCACCCCUCGCCGCGCUCCUGGCCGAGCUCUUGGCCGCCGCCCCAACAGCUAGGGAAAGAUGACGACGAGCUCCUCGAACCUUGAUGUAGAUGCGGCCCACCUGGAUGCCGUCUGGCACGACGAACGCUCGCCGGAACCCCUCCACGCCACUCAGAUUCUUUGAGUUCCAUUCGGUGCAGAAAUGAAUCUAUCCCUUUCAAAGACAUCUCUUAAUUUUUGCAUGAAACUAUGAAAGUAAAAAAGACGUGUAUGUGCAUCAAAAGGAUCUGGACAUACAAACGUUAUCAUUGAGAUAUUAUUAAUUGUAUUUGCUAUUUGGGGCACUUGAUAUGCCUCCUGCUUGUCUGACUAUCUUUACAAAUUCUUCAGACAAAUGGUACUCAACUCAGUACAAUGGUGGCGGAACAGGUACUCCUUGAUAUCUACUAUGAGCAACCAAAAUUACUGAUCUAAAUGUCCAUUAUUAUGCGUACUUCACUCAAUCAUGUUGCUAGCAGUUAAAUUGAUUUGUGCAAUAGAUCCUGUGCAGCAGCCUCUUUGGUGCUUCUCUAGAUAGCACUGAAGGUGAUUCAGUUCUAUAUAUAGUUAAAGAAAAUAAAAGGUUAUAAUGCAUUACAGGAGCAAUAUUAGGGCAAGAGUAGUCAGGUGAAGGCUUAUUCCCUUCCACUAAUUAAUCAUUGGCUAGCUGGACAUUGAAUCAGCGAAUCAGCUUCUAUAAUUUAAUUAAUGCAAGUUCUGUCAAUUGUUACUUCAGAAUUUUAAUUCAGAUGUGAAGUGGCAAGGAUCAAUCUAGAAUGAAUCUGACCAUGAAUAGACAAGUCAUUGAAAUCAAUUUUGGUGAUUAAGUUUAUGAAUCAAAAUUAACUACUAACUACAGAAAAAAAAAGUCAUAGUUAUUCUCUUAGUUGUGUUCAUAUCAAGUGUGGGUUUGGUCUGCAUUUUCAUACUUGGAGCAAAUAGGGAAAGCUAUAAAUUCUUUUGCUAGACCAUAUUGAAGCUAUAGAUAACUUUGCUACCUGUUAGCAGCAGCAUGGUUUUCUUUAUCUCCACGGACGGUGAAAUUGUCUGCUUAUUGCGAUCCUCAAUUAACAAAGAGUGGAAACGAACACACAAUUUCUGUAUACUUGUGACCGUACGAGGGGCAAAAAGGUUUGUUCCUUUGCUAAUGCUUACUUGCAACCUGACUUGCAACACCACAAUGUGCUCAGCUGAAUCAACCAGGAUGGUAUCCAUCUCUCUGAUGUUGUUGGAUCAUAUGCUUCUAUCCUCCAAAGGACAGGAAACUUGCUUUUUUGAGAUUGCAGCAAUAGUGUUGUCUAUGAAGAACAUAGGUAUAAAGCAUGCUUUCAUAAAUCGCAUUCGUUAUUGAACGCAUUCUUGCAGUCAAAACUGGAAAACAAGAAAUUCUCGGGCUAAUGCUUGUUGAAGCACAUGGCAAGAGCUUCACUGCUGCCCGCUGCAAAUGGUCAAAGCCUACCAUCAAAGCUAUAGCUGGAUGAUCCUCGGAAGAGCUUUUUUUUUCAGUCCAUUUUGCAUUGCCUUAUAGGGUGUAGGGGACCUUUUGUACACACUACAUGGUUUCUCAAUAUCUUUAAUACAAAUAGGAAGCGCUCUGCACGUAACCACAUUCUUUUCCCAAAAGUACUGUCUCAUGUUGCAAAUUAUGAAAUGGAUAUUUGAUAAGGUAUGGGUGGCUGUCUUGAUCUGAUGUGUUUAGUUUU